AGUGAACGCUGGCGGUAGGCCUAACACAUGCAAGUCGAACGGCAGCACAGUAAGAGCUUGCUCUUACGGGUGGCGAGUGGCGGACGGGUGAGGAAUACAUCGGAAUCUACUUUUUCGUGGGGGAUAACGUAGGGAAACUUACGCUAAUACCGCAUACGACCUACGGGUGAAAGCAGGGGAUCUUCGGACCUUGCGCGAUUGAAUGAGCCGAUGUCGGAUUAGCUAGUUGGCGGGGUAAAGGCCCACCAAGGCGACGAUCCGUAGCUGGUCUGAGAGGAUGAACCACCCCCCUUGGACUUAGAAACCGGCCCAACUCCUGACGGGGGGCCGAGUGGGGAAUUUUGGGCAAAGGGGCCCAACCUUGUCCCACCCUCCCCGGGGGGGGAAAGAAGGCCUUCGGGUUGUAAACCCUUUUUUUUGGGAAAAAAAAGCAGCAGUUUAAUACCCCGCUGUUUUGACGGUACCCAAAGAAAAACCCCCGGCUAACUUCUU
rnacentral:rRNA from 1 species